rnacentral:rRNA from 1 species
UCGGCCUGCACGGAAGAUGUAAACGGGGGGCCUAAAAAGUAUAGGUACCCGAAGCUGCGGCAUCAGGUU